GACGAACGCUGGCGGCGUGCUUAACACAUGCAAGUCGAACGAAGAGCGAUGGAAGCUUGCUUCUAUCAGUCUUAGUGGCGAACGGGUGAGUAACGCGUAAUCAACCUGCCCUUCAGAGGGGGACAACAGUUGGAAACGACUGCUCAUACCGCAUACGAUCUAACCUCGGCAUCGAGGAAAGAUGAAAGGUGGCCUCUAUGUAUAAGCUAUCACUGUAGGAGGGGAUUGCGUCUGCUUAGCUGGUUGGAGGGGUAACGGCCCACCAAGGCGAUGAUCAGUAGCCGGUCUGAGAGGAUGAACGGCCACAUUGGGACUGAGACACGGCCCAGACUCCUACGGGAGGCAGCAGUGGGGAAUCUUCCGCAAUGGACGAAAGUCUGACGGAGCAACGCCGCGUGAGUGAUGACGGCCUUCGGGUUGUAAAGCUCUGUUAAGCGGGACGAAAGGCCUUCUUGCGAAUAGUGAGAAGGAUUGACGGUACCGGAAUAGAAAGCCACGGCUAACUACGUG
rnacentral:rRNA from 1 species